rnacentral:rRNA from 1 species
AGAAAAGUAGCCCUCUAUUUAUAAGGUUACACUCAUCGAUGAGCCCGCGGCCCAUCAGCUAGUUGGCGGGGUAACGGCCCACCAAGGCAACGACGGGUAGCUGGUCUGAGAGGACGAUCAGCCACACUGGAACUGAGACACGGUCCAGACUCCUACGGGAGGCAGCAGUGGGGAAUUUUCCACAAUGGGCGAAAGCCUGAUGGAGCAACGCCGCGUGUGUGAUGAAGGUCUUCGGAUCGUAAAGCACUUUCGACCGGGACGAAAAACCUCUGGCUAACAUCCAGGGGCCUGACGGUACCGGGAGAAGAAGCACCGGCUAACUCUGUGCCAGCAGCCGCGGUAAUACAGAGGGUGCAAGCGUUGUUCGGAAUUAUUGGGCGUAAAGCGCGUGUAGGCGGCUUAUCAAGUCAGAUGUGAAAGCCCUCGGCUCAACCGAGGAAGUGCGUCUGAAACUGAUGAGCUUGAGUACCGGAGAGGGUAGCGGAAUUCCGCAAGUAGAGGUGAAAUUCGUAGAGAUGCGGAGGAACACCGGUGGCGAAGGCGGCUACCUGGACGGUCACUGACGCUGAGACGCGAAAGCGUGGGGAGCAAACAGGAUUAGAUACCCUGGUAGUCCACGCCGUAAACGAUGAGAACUAGGUGUCGUGGGUGUUGACCCCCGCGGUGCCGCAGCUAACGCAUUAAGU